ensembl:lncRNA
AAAGGAAAGAAGAGUGAAGAAAGGAAAGAAGAGUGAAAGAAGGAAAGAAGUGGAAGAAGGAAAGAAAAAGAAAGAAGAGUGGAAGAAGGAAAGAAGAGUGGAAGAAGGAAAGAAGAAGAGUGGAAGAAGGAAAGAAUAAUAUUCCUAGUUAUACAGUUGAAUUGAGAGGGACAGAGAGAGAAGAGGAGCCUUGGAACCUUGGCGCAGGUGUCAGUGAAGCACAGGUGCAAGCCAGUUUAAUGACCCUAUUAUGAUGUCAUAAUGGCCCAAUGUAAGUGAAUGGGAAAAUUUGUAUUAGUUUUUCUUUAAUAUUUUAAAAAGUAUAAAGUUUAGAAAAAUGAAAAAUACAUAGCAUAAGUGUCCUUUACAAGACCUACGCAGCAAAGUUUGAACAAAGUUUCUAAGUUAAGCGGUUCGAGCUGAAUUAAGCGCAGAAGUUCGGUAAAAAGAAUAACUAGAAAAUGCAUUUCCUGAAGGAAAUACCAGUGCAUGAAAUGCAAAAGUUAAGAAAGGAAGAAGAAAAGAAAGAAGAGUGAAGAAGCAAAGAAGAAAGGAAA